rnacentral:rRNA from 1 species
GACAGAGGGUGCGAACGUUGUUCGGAAUUACUGGGCGUAAAGCGCAUGUAGGCGGCAACGCAAGUCGGGCGUGAAAUCCCACGGCUCAACCGUGGAAGUGCACUCGAAACUGCGUAGCUAGAGUCCUGGAGAGGAAGGUGGAAUGCUUGGUGUAGAGGUGAAAUUCGUAGAUAUCAAGCGGAACACCGGUGGCGAAGGCGGCCUACGGGACAGUGACUGGACGCUGAGACGGCGAAAGCGGUGGGGAGCAACAGGAUUAAGAU